UACGUAGGUGGCAAGCGUUGUCCGGAUUUACUGGGCGUAAAGGAUGCGUAGGCGGAUAUUUAAGUCAGAUGUGAAAUCCCCAGGCUCAACCUGGGAACUGCGUCUGAUACUGGAUGGCUUGAAUCCGGGAGAGGGAUGCAGAAUUCCAGGUGUAGCGGUGAAAUGCGUAGAGAUCCGGAAGAACACCGGUGGCGAAGGCGGCCUGCUGGGCAGUUUAGCUGACACUGAGGCGCGACAGCGUGGGGAGCAAACAGG
rnacentral:rRNA from 1 species